rnacentral:piRNA from 1 species
UACAAAGUUUAGUGCCAUUUCUUGAGUGGA